GCGGGGGUUCCCGAGCCCGGUCAAAGGGGGCAGACCGAGGAUCUGCUGCCGCAGGGCUUCGUGGGUUCGAAUCCCACCCCCCGCA
rnacentral:tRNA from 1 species